UUUCAUUCCCCACUUGAUCUCUAACUUUACAAUUGAAAACUGGCGACCCAUAUUUUCUCUUGCUAUUACCCGAACCCUAGCCCUCUCCGCCUUCCUCUCCCACUCUCUUUCCACGGCCAACCACCGAUUCCCUCUCUCUGCUCACUCCUGCUACGAUCUCUCUCUCUCAUUAACCACCUCCUCCCCCUUGCCGGCGCCAUCACCUCCACGAGCAAGCUCUCUCUCUCUCUCUCUGAUCUCGGAAGACUGAAAGAAGGCAAAGAACCCUUCUCGCAAUCUCUCUCUCGAAUUGGGGAAAUCGAUUGCUUCUGUGAACAAAAACAACAUCCCAGGGGCGACCGGCGCCGUUCUGUCAAAGAAAUCUCAGGCGCUGGCGAAAAUCAUUGAUUCACAGUCGGUUCUCAAAUGGUAAAUCGAAAUGGUGGGGGUUUUCAAUUCUAGGGUUUUUGGUAAUCAAUCGAAAAUUGAAUUAUAGAUGGGUGGAGAUUUGGGGAUAUCUGCGUUCCCUGAACAAGACAACAUAUUCUGAAGCUUUGAGAAUUCUAAAGGUGAGUGAAUUGUGUGGGUUUUAACAGAGGCGGAGACGAGAGAGAUUGAGAACGAGGGUCUGUUUUGCUCCACAGAAAUAGAGUGAAAGAAUGUCACCUUCAAUCUAUCUGUUUUUUCGAUUUGACGGUGGAAUCUAACAAUAUGUGCUUAGGCAAAGAAGAAGAAGAAGAAGAAGAAGAAGAACCAGACACGCAUCUGAAGUUCGAGCGUUGAACUCAAUAUUCUCACAAUGGGAUACUCAAGCGGGCACUAAGGAAUAUCAGUGGAGAGCCAUGCGGUGGAUCAGCCAUCAAUGGAACCGAAUUUGAUAGCCCUACUAAUAACCCAGCCAUCAUUUGCGACUGUACUUAUGCCAAUGGCACCACCUGCCAUAUUACCCAACUACACAGAAGACGGAGUUAGUGAUUUGGGGGAAAGAAGAGGAACUUCAAGAUUGGGUGCCAAAGGCUGAGAAGGUUGGUGGGGAUUUGAGAGGGGUGAUUAGCCUACAUUACUGACAUAGAGGAAGAUGACAUAGCAGGUGACACAAAGUAUCGGCAUAGAGCGGCUAGUUGGUCUGAGGAAGUAGAAUAAUACCUUGCCAAGCAAUAGCUGCGUGGAAGGGUGCAUGAGAAUAGAUAAUUGCACGUUUUAAGGGUGUAGUUUAAAGAAUUUCUUAUGCAAAUUCAUUGGUUAGGCCUGGCUUGCUUCUGUCAUUCAUUAAGUUUAUAGCAAGCGGUAGUUGUCUCGUCCGGUUUGGGGCGUGACAGUUAGGCUGUUUAAUUCCAAAAGCAAAAUUUCUAUUAUUGUCGCAAGUAUUCAUGACAUACUGAGAGGUCAAGAGUUGAUUAUUUCACUAUUUGUUUCAAUUUUUUUAGGAAAAUCGAUCAGAAUUAUUUCACAGGUCAUGGAUCAUCAAUGUGACUGCAUUGACAUUAUUGUCAAUUGCUCACAAUGCAUUCUCUGGGCCCAUCCCCAAGGAGCUUGGAAACCUCAAGGACUUAAAUAUGCUGUCCUUUGAAAUAAAUAACUUCUCCAGAACACUACCUCCCGAACUUGGUAAUUUGGUCAAGCUUCAACAACUCAGCUAAAGUAAGGCGGAUUUAUGAUAUUGCAAAUGUUUCGUCCUCCAUGAUUCUUAUUGAAAAGACCCACGCAGCAGAUACAAGGAAGCCUGCAUAUAAAUGGUUGGGAUUGAGAGGAAAAGAUGCUACGAGUUCAGCUUCAGACGAGUCUAGAAAAAGAGCCUUUGGAACAGAUAUCACAAACGUUGUAAGAGGGGCGGCAAAGUAGAAUCUUCUACUGCUGGGAAAUUGGAAGCUCAGAAACAAAAGCAACAUGAGAGUAUAGUACGGCAAUGUGUACGUAAGGUUGAUAGGAACAAUUCAGAGGACUCGAAAGAAAAUACAAAGAGCUACCAGUUUGGCCCUUUUGCCCUAGUUACUAUUGCCAGAGCUGGGAAUUUCAACAUGAAGAAGGUUGACCGGGACAAUUUGUCCUCUACGUACUUAUCGUCCCUAGUAUCAGAAUCAAGGUAUCAUCAACUUAUGCUUCAGCCUGAUGUGUAGGUAUAUGAUAAGACAUACAAGUCUUAUAUAUAUGUACGCAAGAAAAAGUGAAACUAUUACUAGGCUACCUUGGUUUGUAGAUUACUUGAUUAAUUGAAGAGCAAUGCUCUCUUCAGUACUUGCCUUAAAAUUUCAAACAUUCUUUCUUGUUCAGUGUAGAUUAUUUUUUUACAAAAAGGGUUCUCAAUUUAGUCACUCUGAUAGUGUUAUGAAUUUAAUGAUGAUCUGUUAUUGUUCUGCAUCUGUGUUUGCAAAACCUUUGGUUGGUGUUACAAUUGUGAUUGUUGGUUUGUAAUUGAAAUGAGUUCAUA